CUCCCGGUGAUCCCGCGGGACCCGACUGCUAUCGGAUUGAGAUUUAGCCAUGCGAGUCGAACGUCCCCCUGUUGCGGGGGGCGUGGCGUACGGCUCAGUAACACGUAGUCAACCUGCCCUGGAGACAAGGACAACCCCGGGAAACUGGGAUUAAUCCUUGAUAGGUCAUCUCAUCUGGAAGGAGAGAUGGCUUAAAGGGGUACGCGGGCUUCUUCCGCGAAUCUGCUCCAGGAUGGGACUGCGUCCGAUCAGGCUGUUGGCGGGGUAAUGGCCCACCAAACCUGUAACCGGUACGGGCCUUGAGAGAGGUGGCCCGGAGAUGGACACUGAGAGAAGGGUCCAGGUCCUACGGGGCGCAGCAGGCGCGAAACCUUCGCAAUGCGCGAAAGCGUGACGAGGUUAAUCCGAGUGACUCCCGCUGAGGGGGUCUUUUGUCAGCUGUAAAUAGGCAGGCGAAUAAGGGGAGGGCAAGCCUGGUGUCAGCCGCCGCGGUAAUACCAGCUCCUCGAGUGGUCGGGGCGAUUAUUGGGCCUAAAGCAUCCGUAGCCGGUUCCGUAGGUCCUCUGUUAAAUCCAACCGCUUAACGGUUGACCUGCAGAGGAUACCGCGGGACUAGGAGGCGGGAGAGGCGGACGGUACUCCGCGUGUAGGGGUAAAAUCCUUUGAUCCGCGGAAGACCACCAGUGGCGAAGGCGGUCCGCCAGAACGCGCUCGACGGUGAGGGAUGAAAGCUGGGGGAGCGAACCGGAUUAGAUACCCGGGUAGUCCCAGCCGUAAACGAUGCUAGCUAGAUGAUUCAUUCGCAAGUCGCGAAUGAAGUGUCGCAGGGAAGCCGUUAAGCUAGCCGCCUGGGGAGUACGGUCGCAAGACUGAAACUUAAAGGAAUUGGCGGGGGGAGCA
rnacentral:rRNA from 1 species